GGAGGGCAGAGCCGAGCAGAGCCUGGGGGAUUCUGCGGCUCCUUCAGCCGCCCUCGGGCUCCCUCACCGCCUCCCAGCGCGGGGAGAGGCCACGCGCAGGGUUCUGGCUGGAUAUGGCCGCCGUGGUGGCACCCAGCGCCCUCAGGAAGAGCCCGGCGGUGGUGAGGGGUCGGUGCCCCCUCAGAGCCACGGGAAGGGUUUCAGGUUCAUUACUGUCCCCUCGAGGGGAAGGCACCAAAAGCUCUCAAAAGCCCUAAAACUCCAGCUGCACCCACUGAGAAUGGAAAUAACUGCAGAGUGCCCCUCCUCUGCCGUGGCCACGUCCCGGGAGUGAGGGAGGAGUCACACGAAGCCCUUUGAUGUUCUCAGAUUUGGGAUUCAAACAGCUCCGGUCGUGUGGAGCAAAAUCUGGAGCCAUCCUUGCCCGUGGCAAGGCCUCGUUCCUCCCAGGACAGGGUGACCCAAAGGGGAAAACAGAAUUUAAUACAUUCUCCUUGCAUCGGGAAUUACUUGGCAAAGCUGGUGGUGCACAGGGGACCAGACUCCAAGAUGAAAACCAAGCCUUGCUGAAAUCUGAAAGCACAGAUUGCACCCUGGAUGAAUGUGGGCAGGAGCUGGAUGAAUAAAGAGGGCUUCACUCACAGCAACAGUUCUAAAUCCACUUAAAAUACUUGCUGUAAUAGGAAAAAAAAACCACCUUUGUCAUGCAGAGAAAGGCAAGACAUCUAAGAAAAACCAUUUGAAAAACCCCCCACCACAAAACUCACCCUGGCACUGGACUUCUGAAACAGGUUCCAAAGAGCAGCUGCAAGUGUGUGGGAUAAGAUCAGGACAUCAAUACAUAAUGCUUGUUCUCCAGCAGACAGACUUCAUUUGUCCUGUCAACAUGAGCUAAUUAAUAAUUAAAAAGGGCACUGUGAUCCUGAUGUGGGAGGUCCUAUAAAAAUGAAAAUUCAAGCAA